UACAGAGGGUGCGAGCGUUAUUCGGAAUUACUGGGCGUAAAGCGCUCGUAGGCGGCUUUCUAAGUCAGGGGUGAAAUCCUGGAGCUCAACUCCAGAACUGCCUUUGAUACUGGAAAGCUUGAGUUCGGGAGAGGUGAGUGGAACUGCGAGUGUAGAGGUGAAAUUCGUAGAUAUUCGCAAGAACACCAGUGGCGAGGGCGGCUCACUGGCCCGAUACUGACGCUGAGGUGCGAAAGCGUGGGGAGCAAACAGG
rnacentral:rRNA from 1 species